rnacentral:snRNA from 1 species
AGAUGUGAGGGCAAUCUGAAUAUAUUAGUCACUGAAUUGAUAACCAGGGUUAAUUUGGCUGAUCUAGCUAGCUAACUCAGUGUUCUCUUCUACAACUUAUUCUGUAUGAAAGGAAGUCCAUGUAGAAAUGAAACCUUCCCUGACAACUGCCCUUCGGUCAAGGGGAUGCAAAUGGCUCUGUUCCCUUCCUAAGCUAUUUCCAAGGUCCAAGAAGGCGAUGGUACCAAUAUCCUCAUUUUACAGACAAGGAAUGCGCGCGCUGUGGCUCACAGGUAUUU